AUUGAACGCUGGCGGCAGGCCUAACACAUGCAAGUCGAGCGGCAGCGGGGGAAAGCUUGCUUUCCCGCCGGCGAGCGGCGGACGGGUGAGUAAUGUCUGGGAAACUGCCUGAUGGAGGGGGAUAACUACUGGAAACGGUAGCUAAUACCGCAUAACGUCUUCGGACCAAAGUGGGGGACCUUCGGGCCUCAUGCCAUCAGAUGUGCCCAGAUGGGAUUAGCUAGUAGGUGGGGUAACGGCUCACCUAGGCGACGAUCCCUAGCUGGCCUGAGAGGAUGACCAGCCACACUGGAACUGAGACACGGUCCAGACUCCUACGGGAGGCAGCAGUGGGGAAUAUUGCACAAUGGGCGCAAGCCUGAUGCAGCCAUGCCGCGUGUAUGAAGAAGGCCUUCGGGUUGUAAAGUACUUUCAGCGGGGAGGAAGGUGUUGUGGUUAAUAACCAGAGCAAUUGACGUUACCCGCAGAAGAAGCACCGGCUAACUCCGUGCCAGCCGCCGCAGUAA
rnacentral:rRNA from 1 species